rnacentral:misc_RNA from 1 species
GCAAACUUGGUCAUUUAGAGGAAGUAAAAGUCGUAACAAGGUCUCCGUUGGUGAACCAGCGGAGGGAUCAUUAUAGAGUUUUAUAACUCCCAAACCCAUGUGAACUUACCAUUGUUGCCUCGGCGGAGCCUACCCUGUAGCUACCCUGUAGGGUGGUUACCCUGUAGCGCCCCGCCGGUGGAUUUUCAAACUCUUGUUAUUAUAUUGCAUCUGAGCGUCUUAUUUUAAUAAGUCAAAACUUUCAACAACGGAUCUCUUGGUUCUGGCAUCGAUGAAGAACGCAGC